rnacentral:rRNA from 1 species
CCUACGGGAGGCUGCAGUGGGGAAUAUUGCACAAUGGGGGAAACCCUGAUGCAGCGACGCCGCGUGAGUGAAGAAGUAUUUCGUUAUGUAAAGCUCUAUCAGCAGGGAAGAAACACACACCUCACGAUUAACAAGCGGUACCUGAGUAAGAACCCCCGGCUACCUAAGUGCCUGCAGCCCCGGUAAUACGUAGGGUGCAAGCGUUAUCCGGAUUUAUUGGUUGUAAGGGGGGCGUAGGGGGCGCGCCAAGUCUGGUGUGAAAUUCCGGGCCUUAACUCCGGCACUGCAUUUGAAAUUGGAGAGCUGGAGUGCAGGAGAGGUAAGCGGAAUUCCUAGUGUAGCGGUGAAAUGCGUAGAUAUUAGGAGGAACACCGGUGGCGAAGGCGGCUUACUGGACUGUAACUGACACUGAGGCUCGAAAGCGUGGGGAGCAAACAGGAUUAGAUACCCUUGUAGUC